UCCGCAGCAAUCGCGAGCAAAGUGAAAAUGCUCACGAGCUUGAUCACUUUUAUACCGCACCGGGGGUUAGUAUGAAGGUGAGCAAAAUAGGGCCGUUGCCGUCGGGACCGACAAAAUCACCAAAUUUGCUCACAAGAAAGGGGCGAGAGCAAACAUGCACUGAAAAAAUUCAACCGUUUAAUGCUAAGUUGAACAAACGACGUUCAGCGUGUAGAGUUUGUUGACAUUUUAUUUUGCGCAUGGUCGCGAAUCGUCCAACUGUCCACAGAAUUUGUUUGCUGCCGGUAUUUUUGAACCGCAAAUCCGAACCAGAAUACAACCAUUCUUCGAACCAACAGCAAUAGCAGUCUCAGGGCCCCGGGAGGUAUGUACAACGGCAGCCUGCAACUGGAUCAGAAUAAUAGUUCGUGUGGGAAAAUCGAAUCACAGAAGAAUCUUUGAGUUAACUUGGCACAUCAAUAUCUACGGGUUCAACCCAACCCCCGGAUUCCCAAGAUGAGACUACCGGUGCGCGGACUUCCUGAAGAUUAUCAAAAAGGAAAAAAAACUUCUCGGAUUUAUUUGUCAUACAGCAGGCUCGUGUCCAUUGGCCAGUGGCUAUAAAGGUUUCAACAUCAAGAGCCAAUGAUGCUAAUUCCGACAACAAAUCGGGUCUGGGCACCAGAAUUUCAUGUGGAUCCAUGUUGGUCAACAAGAUGAAGGCCUUAUCCGUCUGCAUAUCAAUUUUUUCAAAUCAUUAAAGCAUUGUAACAAUUACAUUGCGUCUAAUGAGGCCGGAAAUACGAAGAUCAAAAUUUGGCUGAAAUUUAUUUGAAAAGAAUUUAAUCCAAUCAAAAUUCCAAUU